rnacentral:sRNA from 1 species
AUUAAAUUUAUUAAAUAAAUUUUAACUAAUUAACCCGUGGUCCAACCCGGUUGACCCGAUGACCCGGUGACCCAAAAGGUAGUCCGGUUCAUCGUCCGGGUCGGGUUUCAAAACAUU